rnacentral:rRNA from 1 species
UCAGGCCUAACACAUGCAAGUCGAACGGGCGCAGCAAUGCGUCAGUGGCAGACGGGUGAGUAACACGUGGGAACCUUCCUAGAGGUACGGAACAACUCAGGGAAACUUGAGCUAAUACCGUAUAAGCUCUUGCGAGGAAAGAUUUAUCGCCUUUAGACGGGCCCGCGUAGGAUUAGCUAGUUGGUGGGGUAACGGCCUACCAAGGCGACGAUCCUUAGCUGAUCUGAGAGGAUGAUCAGCCACACUGGGACUGAGACACGGCCCAGACUCCUACGGGAGGCAGCAGUGGGGAAUCUUGGACAAUGGGCGCAAGCCUGAUCCAGCCAUGCCGCGUGAGUGAAGAAGGCCUUAGGGUUGUAAAGCUCUUUACCAGGGAAGAUAAUGAC